UUUGGAGGCAGUGAGCCUGAAAGUCUGUUGUCUGACAAAAUUAUGACUCCGAUUGUCAGAUUAGAUAGCCAUGCGGGGAAACUUCCUUCGAGUCUGUUCAUGCUCAAAUCCAAGUAUUCAAGACUUGUUUGAUUCUUGAUCCAAUCUGGAAUAUUCCCUUCUAAGCAACAAGAACUAAGUGACAGAUGUGUUAACUUAGACUGUUGAAAGGCAAAACCAUUGUUGUUCCAUUGGAGUUUGUUUCCUCCAAGCCGCAGUAUCUUCAGCUUCUGAAGACCAAACAACCAAGCUGUGGGAAUCUCACCUAACGACCCAUUGUUAUUCUCAAGCUCAAGGGUUUCAAGGUUUUUCAGAUUCUGAAUCGACAAUGGAAUUCCACCCGACAACUUGUUCAUGCUCAAAGACAGAGUUGAUAGAUUGACUAACUUCCCAAUACCGUCUGGAAUCUCAGAAGACAAGGAAUUGUUCUGAACAUCAAAUCUAUUGAGCUUGGUUAACCGUGAUACCGACAAACUUGAACCAUUGAACUUGUUCUUCCUCAAACUCAGCUCCCGAAGUUCGGCAAGGCUACCUUGUAAAAUUUAGAUUCCUGAGCUCUUUGAUGUCACCACUCAAUGUACCGCCAAUAACAUUGUUGCUUAAGUCAAGACGCUGAAGAGUCUUCAAAGAGAAUAAUUCAUGAGGGAUAGUGCCGUUCAAGCUAUUCCUACUCAUGUCAAGAGAGAUCAAGCUGGUCAAGUUCACAAACGCAUCUCCAGGAAUCUCUCCUCCAAAAUCAUUCUGGCUUAAGUUAAGAUACUGAAGAGUCUUCAAAGAGAACAAUUCAUGAGGAAUAGAGCCGUUAAAGAGAUUAGAACUCAUGUCAAGAGAGAUCAAGCUGGUCAAGUUCACAAACGCAUCUCCAGGAACCUCUCCUUCAAAACCACUUAAGCUUAAGUUGAGAUACUUAAGAGUCUUCAAAGAGAACAAUUUAGGUGGGAUAGAGCCAUUAAAGAGAUUAUAACUCAUGUCAAGAGAUAUCAACCUUGGCAAGUUCAAAAACGCAUCUCCAUGCAUCUCUCCUUCAAAACCACUCAGGCUUAUGUUAAGAUACUGAAGAUUCUUAAAAGAGAACAAUUUAGGAGGGAUAGAGCCUUUAAAGAGAUUAUAACUCAUGUUAAGAGAGAUCAACCUGGUCAUAUUCACAAACGCAUCUCCAGGAAUCUCUCCUUGUAUGUAAUUAUACGAGAUAUCAAGCGUAACGAGAGAACUUAUACGCAGGACCGGUCUCAGAAUGCUUAAACUCACUGAGACCAUGUUCUGCGUAUAAAUGAGGUCUGCCUUGCCAUAAUCGGAAAUAGCGCUCAAAUCUAGGCCUAUCACUUCUCUUGAAGGCGAACGAGCGUUACAUCUCACAAGUUGCCAUUUGCAGCAAUCGGAGUUUGGCCUCCAUGUCAUGAAAUGUCCCAAUAAGUCGAUUUCAGCUUUGGAGUUGUUGACAUUGUGAGUCAUCAGCAAGUUCUUGAACUCGAGAAGGGAUUGUCUUUGGUCUUGUGGGCAAGACAAAGAUAGUUUUGGUAUGAAGAAGACGAAGAAGAAGAUGAAGAGCAAGCAGGAGAGAGGACAUUGCUUCAGCAUUUUUUUUUCUUUUUCUCAAAGGUUUUUUGCCGUUCGCCACUUGCAGUGUCUUCUUUGUCUUGCUUUGUAAUUAUGACAAGUCCAAGUUGAUUGGUAAAAUGACUAAAAUCCGAACAAAAGAUUACUUUUCGGGUCUUCCACCUCA